rnacentral:rRNA from 1 species
CGUGUACCCGAAGAAAAAAGCAUCGGCUAACUCCGUGCCAGCAGCCGCGGUAAUCUCUGACUAGAUACAGCCUACGGGAGCAGCAGUAGGGAAUUUUCGUCAAUGGGGGCAACCCUGAACGAGCAAUGCCGCGUGAGCGAAGAAGGUCUUCGGAUUGUAAAGCUCUGUUGCCGGGGAAAAAGGAAGGAAAGAGGAAAUGCUUUUCUUUGGAUGGUACCCGGCCAAGAAAGUCACGGCUAACUACGUGCC